GUUUAGGUCACAUCGGAACGAUAAGGCUAUUAUAUAUGUUUUCUUAUUGUAAACAAAUCUCACGAAAAGACCAAAAUCAACAAUCCAUUCGUCCGUGUUCUGGUCAGAGGGAUCCUGACAGAUCUGGUUCUGCAGGUUUCUCUGAGUCUUGCUCAUCAGGAGUCAUUGGAGUCACCUGUGUUCCCCCUCAGCUGCUGAUAAUCAGCCUGGCUGGGAGGCUCUAUAUCAGCAGGUUGGCUGCUCAGUUGGUUGUGUGUCUGCAGAGAGUCAACACCUUCAGUUGGCUCUCUGGGUUUGUGUGUUUUGAAAAGUUUUGAUAUUGCACAU